CACCACCGGAUUGCACGCGGAUACAGCACAACUCCUGGGAAAACGUGAAUCUGUUGGAGAGUUGGCUAAAACUACACAAGAAAAACAUGGGUUUCAACCUUUUGUCCAAGUCAGCUCAGGUCCAGAUGCCUCAGAAUGAAGAAUCCCCCAAUGGCAGGCUCACUUGCUCCAGAUGUUCAUCUCCUCCACGGCUGGAUGCUCGC